UCUUUGUUUUUCUUCUACGCUCUUUCAUUUCUUCAUUUUUGCUUCCACAUUUUCCUCUUUUCCUUCCCCUUCCAUCCACUUCUCAGAUCUCUGAAUCCCCACUCUACUUGACCAUCACCAUUGCCGUUUUCUCUUCUCCAGUCUCGCAUUCCCAUUGCCUCCCCACAUCGCGACAGUCUUCUAUUCUCUUCUCCAGAUCUCGCAUCCCCAAUGCCUCCCCACAUCCCUUCGUCCCUUUUUUUCACCUCAACAAUUGCAGCCACUGCCGUUGAGAUUACGGAGACAACAUGGCCUACGCAUAAUAGUCGUUCAGUGUAGAUUUGCCUCCAGAAUCUGUUAAUGCCUUGUUUGAUGGAUGUUUUAUCUAAGUUUGCAAGACAUUUCUUUCCUUGCAUUAUUAAUUUGUUUCGGUUAUAAUUUUGGAAAUACAGAACAUUUUAUAGGUACAAAUUUCAUGUAGAAUUGUUUAAUUUAUAAUCGCUAUUCAUUCUCUAUUGGAAGCAAGCAGCUUGAUUCUCUGCUUUGAAGUCCUUCAAAGUCCACAGUAGUUAUAUAUGUGCUGCAGGAUACUUAUGUGAAGAUAAUUGAGUGAAGAUAUUCCAAAUUGUUUCGGUAUCAGCUUUUCAGGCUGUCUUGAGCUUCCAAUUCCAAGCUUUUGAGUUUCAUUGUUUUUUCACUCUAAGAUGUCUGUUGAAUUUAGAAGUUAAUUAUCAUUGACAAACAUUGGAUUGAACUAAAUUAUCAUUCUGUAUUAUCUGUGUAUUGUGUUUCAGCAAAAAGAAAGUUUUGAUGAAAGCAACAAUGCACCAAUUAGAAUGCAGCAAGGAGUCUCCCAAUGACGAGGAUUGAAUACAGCAAGAAUGCAACAUUACAGCCUUCUAUAAGUAGUUGAAUCUCUGAAGAAGAAGUAAAGAACAAGUACAAGUAAAGAAGAAGCUUUUUCAAACUUUGGUGUAACUAUGGCGGUGAGUUAAAUGUUUCUCGUGGAAUGCAAUGGCAGUUGCCAA